CACACUGUGACUAAAGAGACUCAAUGCGGAACGGACACAUCUACACAAGCAGUCACAAUAAAAGCCUCCAGGGAUUCUGCUUGCCUUGAGUGCUAUGGCCUGCAUUGCGUCGAAAGUGGUCAUUUGCAAUGUUAAAUCCCCAGGGAAGGUCGCAGCUGGGUAGUUUCCCUUGUUCGAGGCUCUGAAUUGUGAUGGGCUGGGGGUUGGUGGGAAGUAGGGGGGUGUUUGUUAAAGGAGAAGGAUGGCUGACAAGGGUGAGAAACUCACUCCUCUGCACCCCCCAUCCCCCGCCCACUUCUCUAUCCUCCAGCUCCUUCCUCCUCCCCCCUCCCCAUCCCACGACCCUGGCGGGCCAAUCCCCGCUCUGCACCAGAGGCGCCUCCUCGGGUUUCUGCUGAUCUUGCAGGGUCCAGAAAUGGACCGCGCCGCCGCUCUGCCGUUGCCACCGCCGCCGCUGCUGUCACUACCGCAAUAGUCCCGCUUGACUCCGAGGCUCCCCAAGCCCCCAGUGUCCAGAGGAGCUGCCUGGAGGACUAAGCUAGGCUGAGGCGGGGUGGAGAUGCUAGAGUAGCUAUGUAGACCCUAGGGCGGCUCUCUCUUGCCGCCCACUGCCUGGAUUCAUCCCUUCAGAAGCGAAGCAGAGACUCUUGGAGUGAGAUUUUUGGGGAAAUUUUAAUUUUAUUUUAAUUCCAGGGCUUUUGGAGAGAUAUUCUCCUCCCUCCUCCUUCCUCUCCCCUUUCAAUCUCUAAUAAUCCUAGUAACUCGGAAUUGGAGAGUGUCCUAUCUUUCUUCCUUUCUGUAUAAUCCUUCGGGUUAUUGUUUGGAAUGGGGGUGGGUAGAAAUAUUUCGGCAGCAGCGGCCCUAUAAAGCGAUCUUGGCCAGGAGAGGAGCGCAGGAGGACAGAGCUGGAGGCUGAGUUUGCCACUGCGCCUUUUGGAUGCUGCUGUUGCUACCGCCGCCGCCAAGGAGACUUGCCGCAUUCCAACAGGAACUCUUCUUCCCACUCAACAUCGCCACUGACGCCUGCCCAGACACCAGUCCAGCAUCCAUCGAUCGCCCUGGUGGGAGCUUAAAAAGCAGCAGAAGAGGGGUAGGAGGGAGGAUAGACCAGAGAAAGAGGGAGAAAUGGAAGGCAGGGGAAUCUGCUGAGCUGACACGGCACCCAGUCCUGUUUUUAUGACGAUUUAGGGUGGGGGUAAAGGGGUGACCCCCUCCCCAAAGGCAAUGUCGAAGUUUGCCAGAACAGCAUUACCUUGAGAGGAAAGAAAAACAACUCCCUCCCCCAUCCCACAACAGAACAGGAGCCAGGUGCUACUGGAAAGGGGGAUUCCAAUUUGGGAAAAGACUAGGUGGGAGUGAGAGAAGUAAAUUGAUAGAGUCCAGAUUAGUUUCCCUCCUGCUCUUUGGAUAUUCUCCCCAAGGAAUUGUGGAUUCAAACACUUUAGGUGGGGGUCGGGGCAUUUGGUUACCCUCCCCCACCUCCUUCCAACAUCUUCACCACCCCAGUUCCCCCUCUCUGCUCCACAC
rnacentral:lncRNA from 1 species